UUUAAUCGUUGGAUUGCGGGGAAUACUGUUCGGCUAGGGGGCGGGAGAGGCCGACGGUAUUUCCGGGGUAGGGGUGAAAUCCUAUAAUCCCGGAAGGACCACCAGUGGCGAAGGCUGUCGGCUAGAACGCGCCCGACGGUGAGGGAUGAAAGCUGGGGGAGCGAACCGGAUUAGAUACCCGGGUAGUCCCAGCUGUAAACGAUGCAGGCUAGGUGUUAGGGCGGCCACGUGCCGCCUUAGUGCCGCAGGGAAGUUGUUAAGCCUGCCGCCUGGGGAGUACGGCCGCAAGGCUGAAACUUAAAGGAAUUGGCGGGGGAGCACCACAAGGGGUGAAGCUUGCGGUUUAAUUGGAGUCAACGCCGGAAAUCUCACCGGGGGCGACAGCAGAGUGAAGGCCAGAUUAAAGGUCUUGCCAGACGAGCUGAGAGGAGGUGCAUGGCCGUCGCCAGUUCGUGCCGUGAGGUGUCCUGUUAAGUCAGGCAACGAUCGAGACCCGCAUCUCCAGUUGCUACCAGCCUUGCGUUGGGCAC
rnacentral:rRNA from 1 species